AGCGAACGCUGGCGGCAGGCCUAACACAUGCAAGUCGAGCGGAAAGGCCUUUCGGGGUACUCGAGCGGCGAACGGGUGAGUAACACGUGAGUAAUCUGCCCAUCGCUUCAGGAUAGCCAUCGGAAACGGUGAUUAAUACUGGAUAUGACAUUCCUUCGCAUGUUGGGGUGUGGAAAGUUUUUUCGGCGGUGGAUGUGCUCGCGGCCUAUCAGCUUGUUGGUGGGGUAAUGGCCUACCAAGGCUUUGACGGGUAGCCGGCCUGAGAGGGUGACCGGCCACACUGGGACUGAGACACGGCCCAGACUCCUACGGGAGGCAGCAGUGGGGAAUAUUGGACAAUGGGCGGAAGCCUGAUCCAGCAACGCCGCGUGAGGGAUGACGGCCUUCGGGUUGUAAACCUCUUUCAGCACAGACGAAGUUUUGCUUUUUUGGGUGAAGUGACGGUAUGUGCAGAAGAAGGACCGGCCAACUACGUG
rnacentral:rRNA from 1 species